GGCUAAGCCAGGACUGCUUUUCUGGAGUGAUAAUGUGCUUGCCUGUGUCUAAGAGAAAGUACCCUGGCUGAUAAAUGGGACUUGGAUUUUAAAUACCAUUGUGUAAUAAAUGUAUGUGAUGGCUUUGGAGCAAAUUGAUUGACAAUGGCUAGGAGACAGCUUCCCAAGGCUGGAAAGAGGGGAGUGCGGAACAUGCCUCCACCAUACCACUGCCCACCUCCUGUGACCUCUGCAGCAAAACCUGAAGCCCCAAAGAGGCAGCUUCUCAAAGUAAAAGUGGAAUGAAGUUCCUGGUGACCUGAAUUCCCAUGGAGGAAAGAGGAAAAGGACAUUAUGCAUAGGAGAUGGCAUCUCGUGUCCCUGGUGAACCAAAUUCCAUUAGGAAGACGGUGCAGUGUGAGGUGGACCUGGACCUGGAUAAAAUGGGUGUUUAACAAGUAUUUGUUGAGUAGGUGGUGGAGGAGGCACGGCGAGAUGCAGGGUCUAGCUGAGUUGACAAGAGCUAACACCAGGUGUGGACCAGGACAGGCGGACCUUAAGCGAAGACACCCUGCCAGAUGUGUCUUGUUCCCUUGACUGUGGGGAGGCCCUUGGUGGUGGGGUGACAGUCCCCCAGUCUGAGGAUUUUCCCUGGAUGCAGCCUCUCAGUGCUAAAAUGGGACAGUCCCAGGCAAACCAGGUCAGUUGGUCACUCUACUCAGUGAGUCCCGUGCUGUGUUCAAAUUUUCCUCUUAACAGAUGUGGAUGGAUUUCGGAAACUUAGAAACCACCAUUUCUCUGUGCCUGGGAGGAGAGUUAAAUCUUCUCACCAGAAUCCUUUUAUGUGUGAGAGAAAUAAAUAUCUAUCCUUUUUAUAUCUCUUUUGUUUUGGAUUCUUUGUCACCAGCAGCCAAACCCAAUUCUUACAUAAACGUGAUACUAAUUAAAUUCAUUUGCAUAAACUCACCAGUUUUAUCCUUAAUUACUGUGAUAUACACUCAUGAAGUAUGUACCCUAAAAUACCACUGUAAGUUUUAUUUGAUUACAGCAUUAAACUUAAUUUACAGAAA
rnacentral:lncRNA from 1 species